rnacentral:rRNA from 1 species
AUUGAACGCUGGCGGAAUGCUUUACACAUGCAAGUCGAACGGCAGCACGGGUGCUUGCACCUGGUGGCGAGUGGCGGACGGGUGAGUAAUGCAUCGGAACGUGCCGUAUAGUGGGGGAUAACGCAUCGAAAGGUGUGCUAAUACCGCAUACGCCCUGAGGGGGAAAGUGGGGGACCGUAAGGCCUCACGCUAUACGAGCGGCCGAUGUCCGAUUAGCUAGUUGGUGGGGUAAAGGCUCACCAAGGCGACGAUCGGUAGCUGGUCUGAGAGGACGACCAGCCACACUGGGACUGAGACACGGCCCAGACUCCUACGGGAGGCAGCAGUGGGGAAUUUUGGACAAUGGGGGCAACCCUGAUCCAGCCAUUCCGCGUGAGUGAAGAAGGCCUUCGGGUUGUAAAGCUCUUUUGUCAGGGAGGAAAUCCUUAGCGUUAAUACCGUUGGGGGAUGACAGUACCUGAAGAAUAAGGACCGGCUAACUACGUGCCAGCCGCCGCGGUAA